rnacentral:piRNA from 1 species
UCAUGAAUGUCCUAAAGGAGAGC